UAUAUAAAUUGAACCAAUGAAAUAAUAUAAAAUAAUGAAAUAAUUUUUUUAUGACAUAUUUUUGUGAAAGUCUUCAAAACAUGAACCGGGACACAGUGGAACAUUGCAAGCUUUGCAUUGAUCCUGGGUUUGUUUCCUCACUUGUUUUUUUGUGCACAUUUUGCAGUUUUUAAAGUAAUGUUUUCUUUUAUACAGUGGAGGUAAUGGGAUUUUUUCUUGAUAGUGUAGUCCUUCUUCUGACAUUGGUCGUUUGUUUUUUGGAUCUUUUGAUUUUGGCGCAUUAAAAAUUUUUUUAGCUGUUACAUCUAUUGGAAGGUUUAUCAUAUUUUUUAUUAAAACAUCGCGAAAAUCUUUAAAAGUCAUAGAAUUGCAGCCAAAAUGUUUUUUGUAUAGGUAAAAACUAUUUCACACUGUAAUAUCUAACAGAUGAAAUAAAACUUUUUCAUGCCAUCGUGAUUGUUUUUGUGGGCUGCUGUAAUAUUUUACCAUUUGGUCUGACCUAUCUAUACCACUCAUAUUAUUAUUAUACUGAAUAAUUUCAUUUAGUUUAUUUUUUUCAUUUCCGAAUCGAUUUUUGGAUAAUAAAAGCUGUGGAGGGUACUUUGUAGUUAUCGCUAAUAAAUCCCUUUUAUCUUUCCACUUAGAUACAUAAAUGUUUUCUUGUCGACGCCAAAUAUAUUCCACAGAUUUUAACUUUUUUGUGGUUACACAUUUUGGGUUGCCUUUACAGUUACUGCGUAGUGUUCCUGUUGUAUGUGUUUUUCCAUUUAGGAGUUAUCUUGAAAGACUUAUACUAUUAUAAUAAUUAUCCAUAAAUACUGUAUGCCCUUUAUCAAGAAAAGGUUCCAAAAUACGAAAAACUAAACUAUUUAUUUUUGAUGUGCAACCAACUUGAAUUUCUUCUCUUUUUCCUUUAUACAUCUCCAUGUUUAAAACAAAUCCAUCGGGUGCACAGAGCUCGAAAAACUUUAUACCAUACCGUGCUUUUUUAACCCUUAACUUGGCAAGCAUAAAAAUAUUUGAAUGAAAAUUGUAAAGUAGAUAUUUUCAAACUAAUUUAAGGUCGCUGAAUUCAAAAAUGUUAUCGAAAAAAAAUUUUGGACUUGAAAGUUCAAAGUUAUGAGUUGUAUCUUAAAAGAUACAUUGCCAGAAAUCACGUACAAAAAAACAAGUAUAAAAUUAUGUAAUUUUAACAUAAAAGUAACUCUUAUUAUUUAAGGAUUUUAAAAAUUAAACUUUUAACAUAACAAUGCAGACUUAUCUCAUUACAGAACAGUAUUAACUAUCACAUUAGUUUUUUAUUAAUACUAACCAGGGUUGGGCAGUAUCAAAGAUACAAUUGUAUCUUGUAUCAUGAUACAUAAUUUUAAUGUAUAAUGUAUCAUGAUUCAUGAUACAUUAUAUACUAGUAUCAUGUAUCUAUUUUUGCCAAAAGAUACAAGAUACUAUUAUUGUAAAAAUGUGUACUAGAUAUGAGUGUAACCGUGUAGGUAUUUCCACAUAAAAUAGAAAAUAAAAUCUAAAGUAAAGAUAAGCAAUUGCAGCAUACUAUUCACGUUGUUGUACGUUGUACCAUACUAUUCGUUCUGUCUGUGUUACUGUGUCACUGUGUCAACUGCCCGUUUACGAUUUUUUUCAUAAUAAUAUUUUCAUAAUAUUUAUUUUUAAUUUUUUUUAAUGGAUUUUUUUACUGAAAAAAAUAUUAAUAUUCCGCCAUCAUUGAAUGGAACAUUUUUUUAAAUUGUGUCUCACGAACAAAAUGGGUCUGCAGAUUACGCUGUAAAAGCAUUAUGUACGACAUGCCAAGAUGUCAAAAAGGAAAAUAAAAUACUUUCUGGAUCUCUUAAAUUCACCACAAAUUUUCGACUUCAUAUAAAAUUAAUAGAGUUCAUUUUGAAAAAUUGACAUUAUACGACGAGCACAUUAAACAAAAUGCAACUAGCAACCAUAGGCGUAAGAGACCAUUAGACCAGUCAUCGAGUGUAGAUUUAUGUCCACUUAAACAACCAAAAAUAUGUUUUUUUAAUAAACAAGAUAAACAACGGGAACUAGAUAAAAAUAUAAUGCGUUAUAUUGUUUUGGGUAUGAGGCCUUUGUAUACCGUUGAAGAUGACAAUUUUGUAAAAAUAAUAAAAGGUAAAUUAUUCACUUAAUACUCAAAUAUUAGGAAUAUCAAAAUAUCAAAAAUUUCCGUUAAUUGUAUUAGUUUAAAAUAAUUAGGCAUAGACAAUGACUUGCAAGUGUAUUCGAGAAGAACACUAAGUCGUCGUAUUAACGAUGAUUUUAUAAAUGUUAUUGACAAGAUUAAAAAUGUGUUUACAACUGAACCACGAACACUUAUAACUACAACAGCGGAUAUUUGGUCAACAAAACAUCGAAGUUUUAUGGGCGUCACAGCACACUGGAUUUCUACAAACACAUUAGAACGCGGCAACUGUGUACUUUCCUGCAAACGAAUGAAUGGUAAACAUUCAUACGAUCGUAUAGCAGAAUUAUUGCAGGACACUUUUAAUGAGUAUUCACUUCUUCGUGAACAAAUUGUUUCAACCGUAACUGAUAAUGGAUCUAAUUUUAUAAAAGCAUUCAAAGAGUUUGGAUAUGACAUUCAAGACCAUAAUAUGACGGAUGAUAUGGAUCUUGUCAUCUUGACGAUGAAGAAGGGGAAGAAACUUUACAUUUUCAAGUUAUUGCAGUGGAUGAAGAUGUUGAAAAUAAUGAGCAGGCAAUAUUUCUUCCUCGUCAUUUACGAUGUGCUAGCCAC